GUCGCGCAGCGAGAUGCUCGAGAACCUCUUCAGGUCCGG
rnacentral:SRP_RNA from 14 species